rnacentral:lncRNA from 10 species
CUCGCUAUUGUUCCAUCUGCAACUGAGCACCUUUUCUGCAGAAAGUAAAGACAGCCUUGCUAAGAGAUCAUUUGUCUCCAAGCUGACUUUUCUUUGCAGCACCGAUUAUCUAUUUCUAACAAUUUUGGGGGCUCGUCCAGGAUUACAGUCUCCUCUAGGGUGGGUCUCCAGUCCUCUCUUGUGAGAAGGCAUGCCCCACUACCUCGUUUUUGGCAGCCUCAGGGGUGAGGAACCGAGAUCCACCCAGUGUGAUGAAUAAACUGGGACUCUCAGCAACGUGGAAAGAAACUGGCUAGCAACGUAGGGUAAAGGAUCCUCACAUACUGCGGUAAUGACUCUGCACAGACCAAGGAAGGAGAAACCAUGGGAGCUGAGGCGUAUUGCUACAUUUGGGGCAAUGCGUACAUAUGUGGUUUCGUUAGCUCCAGCGGGGGCUAAUCCUCUGACAGAGCCACCUCUCACACGAAACACUGAAUGGAGGCGAUCCCGAGAUGGAUGGAGCAGCAGCAGCGCAGGUUGCUGCAGGACAGGACUAAUGGGAAGAUUGGAUGGGAUAAUGGAUCUCCUAAAGUAUCACACACCUAUAGCAACACGCAAACAAAGGAUACCAAUAAAGUAAUACUAUCGUGAAAGGUGUGGCUACAAGGAGAAGAUAGCUGUCUGCAAACUGUCCUCAUCAGACACUAGAUCUGCUGGUAUCUUGAUCUUGGACUUGGAAGCCUCCAGAUCUGUGAGAAAUAAAUGUUUGUUGUUUAAGCCACCCAAUAUAUGGUAUUCUGUUGUAGCAGCCUGAACUGACUAAGACAG